GAACGCAUAUUGCACCUUCCGGUAUUCCGGAAGGCAUGCCUGUUCGAGCGUCAUAAUGACCCAUCAAUCAUGAAUUUAUUCAUGCUUGGCAUUGGGCAAGGAUAGAGCUUGGCUCAUUCCUGUCUGAAAUUCAACGGCGAAGUCAUAUGUUCCAUUCAGUGUAGUAAUCAACGUUAUGUUUCACUGCUGGACAUGAUCGGCUUCUGUCACAAAUUGUUUCCCCCAUUCUAAAUGUUUGACCUCGGAUCAGGUAGGGAUACCCGCUGAACUUAAG
rnacentral:misc_RNA from 1 species